rnacentral:rRNA from 1 species
UACGUAGGGUCCGAGCGUUAAUCGGAAUUACUGGGCGUAAAGCGUGCGCAGGCGGUUUUGUAAGCCAGAUGUGAAAGCCCCGGGCUUAACCAGGGAAUGGCAUUUGGGACUGCAAGGCUGGAGUACGGCAGAGGGAGGUGGAAUUCCAGGUGUAGCAGUGAAAUGCGUAGAUAUCUGGAGGAACACCGAUGGCGAAGGCAAUCCCCUGGGCCUGUACUGACGCUCAUGCACGAAAGCGUGGGGAGCAAACAGG